rnacentral:antisense_RNA from 1 species
GCCGCCGCCGCCUCCGCCCCGCCGCUUCCUCCUCCGCCGCCGGCCUCCUUCGCCCCGCCCGUCCGCGCAGCGCGUCCGGCCCGCCCGCAGGCCAGCUUCUCUCGGGAGCCCCCACCCAGGCUCAUGGCUCCAUGAAGCAAGAGGAGGAGGCAGAGCGCGAGAGGUCCGUCCGCCCCAGCCGCGUCUGGGCCAGGAGAAAAGCAAAACCAUAUUCCUGCUGCUGUCAGUUAUGAUGCACUGAGAAAACUUCAGAGACCUAAGCUUUUUCCAGAGAAGAGAAGCUUUACUGGUGUUCCAGCCCUAAGAAACCUUUGUUCAACAAAACUGCAGAUGCUCUGUUGAAUCCACUGGAGAUUGUCCUCAUACUAAGGACAAGUAUGCUCAUAUGACAUUAACAGACAAGACACUUUUCAGAAAGACAGGCAACGUGUUGGACCUUCCUGAGCUUCUCAGAAGA